AUGGAGAGGAACCUGGGAGCUGUGCUGGGGAUUCUGUGGGUGCAGAUUUGCUGGGUGAGAGGAUUUGAGGUGGAGCAGAGACCUUCAGCCCUGAGUCUCCAUGAGGGAACCAGUUCUGCCCUGAGAUGUAAUUUUUCUAUCACCGUGACAUAUAUGCAGUGGUUCCGACAGAAUCCCAGGGGCAGCCUCGUCGAUCUUUUUUACCUGAAUCCAGGAACAAAGGAGAAUGGGAGGUUAAAUUCAACAUUCAACUCCAGGGAGCGCUACAGCACCCUGCACAUCAGGGAUGCCCAGCUGGAGGACUCAGGCACCUACCUCUGUGCUAGUGAUGCACAGUGCUCCCAGCAAGCCUGCAGGCUGGCCUCAAACUGCAACUGUGUAUGCAGCUAA